rnacentral:rRNA from 1 species
ACCUGUGGUUCAAGCUAGAUAAUCCAUCUGAAGCUAAGCUGGUUUGAACCUGGUUUGUAUUUGGAUGGGAGACCAGCUAGGGAAGCUGAGUUGCUGCUGGAU